ACUUGAAUUGAAGAGUUUGAUCAUGGCUCAGAUUGAACGCUGGCGGCAGGCUUAACACAUGCAAGUCGAACGGUAGCAGGAGAAAGCUUGCUUUCUUGCUGACGAGUGGCGGACGGGUGAGUAAUGCUUGGGAAUCUGGCUUAUGGAGGGGGAUAACGACGGGAAACUGUCGCUAAUACCGCGUAUUAUCGAAAGAUGAAAGUGCGGGACUGAGAGGCCGCAUGCCAUAGGAUGAGCCCAAGUGGGAUUAGGUAGUUGGUGGGGUAAAGGCCUACCAAGCCAGCGAUCUCUA
rnacentral:rRNA from 1 species